UACGGAGGAUCCAAGCGUUAUCCGGAAUCAUUGGGUUUAAAGGGUCCGUAGGCGGUUUUGUAAGUCAGUGGUGAAAGCCCAUCGCUCAACGGUGGAACGGCUAUUGAUACUGCAAGACUUGAAUUAUUAGGAAGUAACUAGAAUAUGUAGUGUAGCGGUGAAAUGCUUAGAGAUUACAUGGAAUACCAAUUGCGAAGGCAGGUUACUAACAAUAUAUUGACGCUGAUGGACGAAAGCGUGGGUAGCGAACAGG
rnacentral:rRNA from 1 species